AAGGGUGAGGUAAGAGCUCACCAGCAGGUCGGGUGACCGGCCUGGCUAGGUAAACCCCACCGGGUGCAAGGUCGAGCAGGGGGGAGUGAUCCGGCGACCAUACCGGAUCUGCGGUGGAUCCCGACCGCCAAACGACCUCCGGGUGGACCGCUUGAGGGGUCGAGCAAUCGGCCUCCUAGAUGAAUGGCCAUCGCUUCGAGAAUCUCGAAGAACAGAACCCGGCUUACCAGUUCGCCCUUGUC
rnacentral:RNase_P_RNA from 1 species